rnacentral:lncRNA from 1 species
ACAAAAUUAACAUUUUUAUUCAAAAAUAAACAACCAUAAAUGUAUCAAACAAACCAAUAUUCACUUCUAAUUCACUUUCAAUCCCCGCCUAGUUUCAUUUUAAAUCAUUGAUUAAACUGAUUCUUUCGGACUAUCAACUCAAUUUCUCUUUUCAAAUUUCAAACCUCCGAAUCCAACAACAAAGAACAUAUACACAACAAUCAUAACCUUAACACAUCACAUGAAGAUGAAAUAAAAUAAGAAUAGAGUUGAAGAAUUAGAUCUCAAUCGCUAAUUUUAUUUCGAUCAAACUGAAUUACUUGAUUCGAGUGCCGCCAAACCUCAAACCAAAUCCAAACUCAACAAACCGCAGUCUUGAACUCAGUUUAAUCACCAAAUCAGGCCAAAAAUAUUAAAAUAACAACAACCCGCACUAAAUUUAGCCUAAAAGGGAUUGAAAUUGGAGUUUCGCCAGAUUAGCUUCAUUUUUGUAGACUAGAUAUGAAUUUGUUGUUGACUUUCUGAUGGAUUUAGACUGUUUUGGUUGGUUUUGAUGCGUUUAUGAUGAGAUAUUCCAUCGCCGAAUAGCGACAAUGAAGGUGGACUGCUGGGGCUAAUUUUGGCUGUUAAUUUAUAAAUUUUAGGUGAUUGAUGAGGCUGGUACCGGCGUCACCCGGUGGGGAUUGCUUCUCCAGUGUUUUAUCUCUCGAUUCCCCUCACUAUGUGCGUGUGUGUGCAAUUUUGUUACUAUGUGUGUGUGUUAGCUGUGUGGUGUAAAUUAUGAGUAUACAUGAGAGUGUCUGUAGGCAGUGUAUGAGUGAUGAACGGAAAUGACAAUUUUUUCUCUGUGUUGUUGUGUAUGCAUGAAUCCCUCCCGAGAAGAUAAAUUACUGUGUGUGUAUAUAUUCAUACUCUAGGUGUGUGCUUUAAUGAAAGUAAUGAUUUUCACCGUGUGUGUUUUCUAUAUGUGUGAGGUAUAUGUGAAUCCAUGAGGGUGAAGCUGUUAGUGAAU